rnacentral:rRNA from 1 species
GACGAACGCUGACGGCGUGCUUAACACAUGCAAGUCGAAGGGAGUGGCGAACGGGUGAGUAACACGUGAGUAACCUGCCCUUUUCUUUGGGAUAAGCCUGGGGAACUGGGUCGAAUACUGGAUGGAUUGGGGUGGGAUCGGGGCGUAUCAGCGUGUUGGUGGGGUGAUGGCGUACGAAGGCUUUGACGGGUAGCCGGCCUGAGGGGGCGGUCGGGCACGCUGGGACUGAACACCGGCCCAGACUCAUACGGGAGGCAGCAGUGGGGGAUAUUGGAGAAUGGUCUAGAGUCUGGUGCAGAGACGUCGUGUGGGGGAUGAGGGCCUGCGGGUUGGGACCUCCUUUCGCCAGCGGAAUGGUAGGGGGUAAAGAAGGCCCGGCUAAAUACCUUCCAGCAGCCGCGGUAAUUC